UACGAAGGGGGCUAGCGUUGCUCGGAAUCACUGGGCGUAAAGGGUGCGUAGGCGGGUCUUUUAAGUCAGGGGUGAAAUCCUGGAGCUCAACUCCAGAACUGCCUUUGAUACUGAGGAUCUUGAGUAUGGGAGAGGUGAGUGGAACUGCGAGUGUAGAGGUGAAAUUCGUAGAUAUUCGCAAGAACACCAGUGGCGAAGGCGGCUCACUGGCCCAUUACUGACGCUGAGGAGCGAAAGCGUGGGGAGCGAACAGG
rnacentral:rRNA from 1 species